rnacentral:rRNA from 1 species
GAUGAACGCUAGCGGGAGGCCUAACACAUGCAAGCCGAGCGGUAUUGUUUCUUCGGAAAUGAGAGAGCGGCGUACGGGUGCGUAACACGUGUGCAACCUGCCUUUAUCUGGGGGAUAGCCUUUCGAAAGGAAGAUUAAUACUCCAUAAUAUAUUGAACGGCAUCGUUUAAUAUUGAAAGCUCCGGCGGAUAGAGAUGGGCACGCGCAAGAUUAGCUAGUUGGUGAGGUAACGGCUCACCAAGGCGAUGAUCUUUAGGGGGCCUGAGGGGGUGAUCCCCCACACUGGUACUGAGACACGGACCAGACUCCUACGGGAGGCAGCAGUGAGGAAUAUUGGUCAAUGGGUGCAAGCCUGAACCAGCCAUCCCGCGUGAAGGACGACUGCCCUAUGGGUUGUAAACUUCUUUUGUAUAGGGAUAAACCUACCCUCGAGAGGGUAGCUGAAGGUACUAUACGAAUAAGCACCGGCUAACUCCGUG